UUUAUUAGCCAAAAACUCAUGAGAAGUGUCAAAGCAAAACAAUCCAUUAAAAAACUAAAAAGGACAGUCUUGUUGAAACUGCUUGCAAAUUGUUUAGAUGUUUUUCGCAUAUUUUACGAUAUAGCCAUACAUAAAUUUCUAAACCGUUAUGUGAAAAUGACGUAAACUGUUAGUGGAAAGUGUAUUUAUUCAGAAUUUGUGCGCAUUUGAAGCGAUUGUGGGUAAUAAUGUUCUUACACGGAACAGUGGAGUGAGUUUCGAAAGUUGCACUCUAAUUGUACACGUCAAAUGAUGUUUUUUGUAUCUUCUAACAUUCCGGGCUACGCCGUCCGGUGUACUACUUGUAUUCGGUUUUUGUUUUCCGAGUGCUCAAAGUUUUCAGUGAGAGAGUCGAUUUCGCGAAGUCGAAUGAAGAAAACAGCGAUUUAGAAGUAAAAUUUUCAAAAAGAAGUUCAUGUUUCGCUUAUGUCUUUUUCUCUAAUACAACUUCGUAUUUAUACCUGCCAAUAUAGAAAAGACAACCGCGACUGAAACUUUUUACGGUGGUAGUGUGCCAUCUAGUGGCUAGUAGUCAUUACGGUGUUAACGGUGUUAAAUUAGUUGAAUGGAUAUGAAGUGUGCCUUAGCUAAGAAAUGACAGCACGUUUAAUCGAUUUUGCGUCACAUGUCGACUUUUGGUAGCUUGCGUUGCUGAACGAGAAAGUGGAAAACCCACCAGGGUCAAUCAGUAAGACAUAACCGGUAAUGGAAAAAAAUCCGUUCAUCGAGGAUGAAUAUAAAUAUUCCAAAAAAUCAUGUUAGUAAUUAUUUGUCAUCGAAUUUUCGACCCGAACUUACUGUUUUGGAAGUACAGGCCAUAAGUAUCUGCUGAAUUAAAAUGAUGGUUGAACGUGUUGUAGCGUUAAUUGUCAUUUUCGGUGGUUGUAUCAUUCCUCUUGUGAUUAGUGCUCCAAAGCCAGAUCCAAAGAUAUUCGAUGCCCCAAUGGCAGAAACAGGAAGAGACGUACUACCUGUUAUUGUCGGGAAACCGAAAUCUCUGUUGGAUAAGGAGGGACAAAAGAGAGUUUACGAUUUGGCCGCCACAGUUACCGAUGAUGAUGAUGAUGUUUACAAACAUCAACGAUCUAUUUCUAUGGAUGAUAAUUCAAUUAGAGAAUAUUUUUGUGGUCACUUCAACGAAAAAACCAAGCUAUGUAUUAAUCAUAAAUUAAUAAUAUAAAACAAGAAAGUAUCUGUUUUAAAUUUGAGGACGAGUGUUUCAAGCUUAACAUGAAGUACUUAAAUUAUAAUUCUCAUAUUUUGUUCUAAUGGCCGCCAUUAUCAAUAAAAUACAAAAUUUCAUUCUAAAUUUCUCUGU